CGCGCCUUUCCGCUCCCGGGUCCCUGGAGGACCGUGGGGGGAGGCGGACUCUAGCUGCUCAGAGGCGCCCGGGCGAUAGGAACUUUGCGUAAUUAAGAAUGAAGGUUUGCAAGUCGCUUUUCCUCCUCGAAUCCCUAAUCCUCGCGGCAUCCCGUCCUCACGAGCUUCAGCUCCUGACUCACUGCUGUUCCCUGUCCCAGAGGAACAAGUUCAUCAGGGAGCCAAGCUGCAGCCAUGGCUUUUAAAGACAUCGGGAAAACACCCGUGGAACCAGAGGUAGCAAUUCACAGAAUUAGAAUUACCUAACCAGCUGCAACCUAAAGUCUUUGGAGAAGCAGGCUAUUUGACAUGUGAACAACUAUCAGCCAGGUCAAGCCUUUCCUUCCUAACACCUCUGCCCUGCUCACCCGCCGACAGGUCCAGAGAAAGCUGAGCAGGUCCCCUUGGGCCACAUCCUCCAGCACCAUAUAGAGUGGCAGCCUUUCUGUGCAGCAGCCUUCCAGUUGUACCAGGUUCUUGUGCUUCCCCAGCUCCAGCUUAAGUUUUACCUCGGAGUCCAGGAGAAGGCUGUUGAGCUCUUUGUCCUCUGAUAAAAAGCCACAGGAUGACCGCAAGAAGGAUGAGGAAGAUGCCUACCAGAAUGGUUGGGAUGAUGAUGAUCUCAUACUGCUGCUCCCGGACAACUGGGUAGGAAAUCAAGCAGGAAGAUAUUGAAGAAUUUCAAUCUGAUGUUCACACAACUUCCCCUAUCCACCAGUCCUCAGCUCCUCAUACAUGAAAUGAUCAUCUCGGGGAUCCCUGGGUGGCACAGCGGUUUAGCGCCUGCCUUUGGCCCAGGGCACGAUCUUGGAGACCCGGGAUCGAAUCCCACGUCAGGCUCCCGGUGCAUGGAGCCUGCUUCUCCCUCUCCC